GACGAACGCUGGCGGCGUGCUUAACACAUGCAAGUCGAACGGUAAGGCCCUUCGGGGUACACGAGUGGCGAACGGGUGAGUAACACGUGGUGAUCUGCCCUGCACUUCGGGAUAAGCCUGGGAAACUGGGUCUAAUACCGGAUAGGACCAUGGACUUCACGGUUUGUGGUGGAAAGCUUUUGCGGUGUGGGAUGGGCCCGCGGCCUAUCAGCUUGUUGGUGGGGUAAUGGCCUACCAAGGCGACGACGGGUAGCCGGCCUGAGAGGGUGUCCGGCCACACUGGGACUGAGAUACGGCCCAGACUCCUACGGGAGGCAGCAGUGGGAAUAUUGCACAAUGGGCGCAAGCCUGAUGCAGCGACGCC
rnacentral:rRNA from 1 species